rnacentral:rRNA from 1 species
ACAGUGCAAGUGUAGGAAGCCGGAAAGGUAGACCGGACCCUUCCGGGGUACGGCGUUGUCACAGGUGCUGCAUGGCUGUCGUCAGCUCGUGUCGUGAGAUGUUCGGUUAAGUCCGCUAACGAGCGCAACCCUCGCUGUGUGUUACAAGUGUCACACGGAACUGCCGGUCAUAAACCGGAGGAAGGUGGGAUGACGUCAAGUCAGCAUGGCCUUUAUAUCCUGGGCUACACACACGCUACAAUGGGAAGGGACAAUAGGUUGCGAAGCCGCGAGGCGGAGCCAAUCCAGCAAAACUUCCCUCAGUUCAGAUUGCAGGCUGCAACCCGCCUGCAUGAAGUUGGAGUUGCUAGUAAACGCAGGUCAGCCAUACUGCGUUGAAUACGUUCCCGGGGCUU